AUCUGCUAUUUUUUAGCGUGGCUUUAUUCCCUGAUUCUCGGGGAUUAAAUGUCAAUAUCUACAUCGACACCAACGUUGUCCUCAACAGAGUUCAGGACAACUUUGUUGGCGUCACCCUCGACUCCAGCAUUAUUCAAACUGGUUUGGAAAAGAGCAGUCUCAACUUGUCAUCACCCAAAUUGCUUAAUCUGGCUGGGGGCUUCCAACCGAACAUCCUUAGAAUCGGCGGGACUGCCGAAGAUGGCAUUUCCUUUGACCCGAAUAGCGUCACAGAAAACAACCAGGGGGAUCUUUCAGCUUCUGUUUGGGAUGAAAUCAACGCUUUCACAUCCCUUGUUGGAUGGGAUCUGAUAUUUGGCCUGAAUGUCCUAGAAAGACGAGA